GCAGACACAUUCCAGCCAAUCAGCAGCAGACCCUCCCUCCCAGACCCUCCCACUUCCUGGACAGCUCACUAAGAAUGCAGCUUCACAAUGAAUGUAAAAUGGAUGCUGUCCAGGAGGUGGGAGGGUCUGGGAGGGAGGGUCUGCUGCUGAUUGGCUGGAAUGUGUCUG